rnacentral:tRNA from 1 species
GCGGACGUGGUGGAAUGGCAGACACGGUGGUCUUAGGAGCCACUGCUUCGGCGUGUGGGUUCGACUCCCACCGUCCGCACCA